rnacentral:rRNA from 1 species
GGCGGCGUGCCUAAUACAUGCAAGUCGAACGAGAGCGACCGGUGCUUGCACUGGUCAAUCUAGUGGCGAACGGGUGAGUAACACGUGGGUAACCUGCCCAUCAGAGGGGGAUAACAUUCGGAAACGGAUGCUAAAACCGCAUAGGUUCUUAAGUCGCAUGACUCGAGAAGGAAAAGAGGCUUCGGCUUCUGCUGAUGGAUGGACCCGCGGUGCAUUAGCUAGUUGGUGAGGUAACGGCUCACCAAGGCCGUGAUGCAUAGCCGACCUGAGAGGGUGAUCGGCCACAUUGGGACUGAGACACGGCCCAAACUCCUACGGGAGGCAGCAGUAGGGAAUCUUCCGCAAUGGACGCAAGUCUGACGGAGCAACGCCGCGUGAGUGAAGAAGGAUUUCGGUUCGUAAAACUCUGUUGUUAGAGAAGAACAGCGCAUAGAGUAACUGUUAUGCGUGUGACGGAUCUACCAGAAGCCCGGCA